AGCUUUGCGCAUUGGCCAUAUCGUAACCAAUGAGGUUCUACCGAGGUGCGACUAUUGCUAGUUGAAAAAAAAUCACUUAUGUUUUACAAUUCUCUCAUUGCUCAGCCCAGAAUAAACAAAUCUUCGAAUAAAUAAAUU